GACACUCGAACAGGCGUACUCUCCGGAAUACCAGAGAGUGCAAGGUGCGUUCAAAGAUUCGAUGAUUCACUGAAUUCUGCAAUUCACAUUACUUAUCGCAUUUCGCUGCGUUCUUCAUCGAUGCGAGAGCCAAGAGAUCCGUUGUUAAAAGUUGUAUUAAACAUUGCCUGUCGGCAGAAACAUCCAUUACAUCGAAUAA
rnacentral:misc_RNA from 1 species